UACGAACCGUGCGAACGUUGUUCGGAAUCACUGGGCUUAAAGGGCGCGUAGGCGGGCUGGUAAGUCCGGGGUGAAAUCCUGCAGCUCAACUGCAGAAGUGCCUUGGAUACUGCCAGUCUCGAGGGAGGUAGGGGCAUGUGGAACUUCCGGUGGAGCGGUGAAAUGCGUAGAUAUCGGAAGGAACGCCGGUGGCGAAAGCGACGUGCUGGACCUCUACUGACGCUGAGGCGCGAAAGCCAGGGGAGCAAACGGG
rnacentral:rRNA from 1 species